rnacentral:rRNA from 1 species
UACGUAGGGUGCGAGCGUUAAUCGGAAUUACUGGGCGUAAAGCGUGCGCAGGCGGUUGUGCAAGACAGAUGUGAAAUCCCCGGGCUUAACCCGGGAAUUGCAUUUGUGACUGCACGGCUAGAGUGUGUCAGAGGGGGGUAGAAUUCCACGUGUAGCAGUGAAAUGCGUAGAUAUGUGGAGGAAUACCGAUGGCGAAGGCAGCCCCCUGGGAUAACACUGACGCUCAUGCACGAAAGCGUGGGGAGCAAACAGG